rnacentral:rRNA from 1 species
UACGAAGGGUGCAAGCGUUAAUCGGAAUUACUGGGCGUAAAGGGUGCGUAGGCGGUUGUUUAAGUCUGUCGUGAAAUCCCUCGGCUCAACCGGGGAACUGCGUCUGAUACUGGGUGGCUUGAAUCCGGGAGAGGGAUGCGGAAUUCCAGGUGUAGCGGUGAAAUGCGUAGAUAUCUGGAGGAACACCGGUGGCGAAGGCGGCAUCCUGGACCGGCAUUGACGCUGAGGCGCGAAAGCCAGGGGAGCAAACGGG